GUUGUAUCCCUCAACCACUCCAACUCUAAUUCCAAUCUGGUUCUCUCUUUCUUUCCUCCUCUCCUCCGAAAAACACCUCUCCUCUCCUCCGAAACACACCGCCGGCGCUCCAUCACCACGGCUGCUCUUCUCUCAAUCCCUCUUCUUCAUCUCUAUUUCUUGAUUGAAUCGACCCAUAUUAAUUCUCAUCUGCAAUUUCUGGUGAAAAUUAUCACAACUUCAGUCACAGAAACUCAUCAAUUGAAUACCUCAGAUCCACCUUAUACAAACCCUAAAUCAAACGAAACCCAAUUUCAAUUCGUAAUCUGCUACUGAUUUCUUCUUUCACUGAUUCAAUCUCAGAACCCCUUUCAAUUCUUCAUUCAACAUCUAAACUAGCCAUAAGAAUCAUAUAUCUCCAUCCCUGAACAUCGAAUCAACAACAAAAAAUUCAUUAUCUCUUCCAUUUCUGUUUAAAGUUUCUUAAUCAUGGGUUCGAUUUGUGGAAUUGGUGUUGCUGCUGCUAGAAAUCAAGAUGGAUGGUGAAUUAUAGUUAGGGUUUGAACAAGAUGAAGAUUUUGACUGAACUGUAGGUGGAAUUGAUUACAGAAAAGAAGGAAUUGAAAUCGGUGAUGUCGGCUGAGUAGAGAAGAACUAAAUGGUUCUCUAUGUGAUUCGAAUGCUUAGAUUAUUGGAAGAAGAAUUUUUAAGUGGGUUGAGUAGGUUGUGAAAUGAAGAGUAUGGUUGUCUGUGUUAGUGGUGUGUGGUCUGGUAAAUCUUGAGACACUGGUAAUGAAUAUGUAAUAUGGGAGAUGGCUUGUGCUGAGACAGAUGAUGGAGUUUUCCGUGGUGAUUGUACUGGAUGAACAUGGCAGAAUGGCGAAAUCAGUUGCAGCUGCAAUUGCAAUAAACAAGUUGGUGGAUGGAAGACAUUGAAUGAGUUAAAGAAGAUGGGAAUCUGCUCUGUGAUUUAUUAUGGUCAUAUCUUAGUAGAGAUUCUAAGGGGUGGGGGAUGAACGACAGAGGAGUUUCAUACACUUUCGGUGCUGAUGCAUUAGCACUAUUCCUAAUGAAGCAGGACCUGUAAAUAAGCAAGAUGCAAAAUUAGAGUCUCUUCAUUUGCAGAGAGACACUUAAAUGGCGAACAGUGGAAUGAUGGACUAUUAGCUACAGUUAGGAAGCGAGUUCACAUGGAGUUAGAAAGAAAAGCAAUGCAGGGGGAUGCUAGCAUGGCAGUGAAUUCUCACUUCCAUGGGAAAAUUACUUAUAUAGCAGGAACUAAGGUAAUUUGCUGUCUGAAGGGAGCUAGAAUUGGCAUCCAGUAUGAGACACCUUUUUCCGGUCUGUUUAGGUUAUGCAUUUUAAGAGACCCUGGGUUUGGAUUUUGUACUGAAGUAAGAAAAAAUGGUGAUGAGUAACAACAAUUAUGAAGAAACAAGGUUACAGAGAAUGAAAGAGAACAACAAGAGAAUGGAAGAACUCAAACUCAACAGAUGGGGUUUGGUUGAUUUGGGUUUUGGUUCAAAUCUGAAUCAACGAUGGUUUGUGUUUGAGCUAAGAGAUGAAAUUUAGGGUUUAAUUACUGAGAAUCGAGAGAUCAUUGAGAAGAAUUAGGUGAUGGGUUUUUGUGGUUGUUCUUCAAGGGUUUGAAGAAGAUAUUUGGACCGAGAUAGAAAAAUAUGUAGACGAAAAUGUAUAUUAAUGCUUAAACCCUCUUGUCGUUGGUUUCGUCGUGUAAUUUGGAAGAAGACAGUGUAUGGAAAUGCGCUUGUUUACGUGAUCUUUAAGUUCCUCCGUUUUGCCAACAAGUCUCCUCUAUAUGGACCCAAUUCUGUAUUUGGUAAAUUUGACUCCAUCCCUUACUUGUGUGUAUGUAAGUUAAUCGAAAAGUUAGUUUCUACUGAACUUUGUUGUUCUGGUUUUGUGGUUUUCAUGUGUGAGUCAUUCUUAUCAAGUGGUGCAGUUCUGAAGAGCUUAAGGGAUUCAAGCAUCAAAUUUUUUUUGUCAGAUUCAUAGCUCGUGAUGGAAAAAAGAAACUCAAGUGAUCCUAAAAGUCUAGAAAUUGGACUGAUACCAAAGAAAGAAAUUGGAUUCUUGUUGAAACCAAAGCAAGAUGUGGUUUCUAAAUCUGCUACUUGGAUUGUCCAUGAAAAACAUCAGAAAUGACUUUAUGAUCAGUGGGGGACAAUGUAUGUCAACCUAUACAACAGGAUCAAUUUGACACCAUAUAUUUGUCAGACAAUGAUAGUUAUGUUAUGUACUCUCGCCCUCAUUUUUUAGAUCGUACGCCUUGUUUACUGUUUGGAUCUCCUCCAAAUUAUUGUAUAUGCAGUUCUAUGUAUAUUCUUAAAUAUAUCCACUAUCUCAUGAUUAUAAUCAUGCGAAUCACUUCCCUUAUGCUACAGCCUAAUCUCUCACGUUGCUUUUGAUUCCUUUCGUGAUGUUAUUAGAGUAUGAGUACUCCGUCAAGAUCCCAAUGAUGAAUGAUCAUAAAGGAACUUAAAACACAAGAAUGAUGGCAGUAUAAAUCUCUUAUUAUGAGCUUGGUGCCACAAAGUCGAAAGAGUGUUCAUCUUUUGUUUCAAAAUUAAGGAAAUUGUAAUCAUCAUCUUUUAGAGAAAUGAUUAGUUUGUAUUUUUAAUCUUUUUGUUCCUGUAAAGAUUGUCUUUUUUUUUAAGAAAUGAUGUAAAUUGAUCUAUGCGAUAUAAUAAAACUUGAUUCAGUUUUUAA